rnacentral:lncRNA from 1 species
CAAAGCAUCAAUUUGAAAGCUAACUUACAACAGCACAUGGAAUGGAAUUGAGUGAAAAAAACUCAUCAAAAUAAAGUCACUCAUUACAAGCUACACAUAGUGAAAGUAUUCAUAAUUUCUCAUAUGGCACAAAUCAAUAUUCAUCAAGAUCACUUGACUAGCUCAGAAAUAGCCAGCUCUCUCGGAAUCUCAUUUGCUCAAGACGUCUUCUCCAAAUCUGCAGUAUAUGUAAAUGAAAGGAUGAGAAAUAGUAAACAAAAGUUUCAAAGAUUUGUCUGACAGGAGUUGCACGAUUAACAUCUUACAAGUCACUAAAUCAAGGUUAUAUAUAGGUCUGGAUUACUACUGAAAUGUUAUCAUACAUCCUUAAUUCAUGGUGACUAAAACAUCCAAAGAAAUUCUAAUCAACUAAGUCAAGGUGGCAAUAGGACAGAUGCACUCCCUCGGUUGACAAAGCUGGUGAUAAACUGUAUGGAACCUUUGUGGCACUCAUCUUCAG